GAUGAACGCUGGCGGCGUGCCUAAUACAUGCAAGUCGAGCGAACAGACGAGGAGCUUGCUCCUCUGACGUUAGCGGCGGACGGGUGAGUAACACGUGGAUAACCUACCUAUAAGACUGGGAUAACUUCGGGAAACCGGAGCUAAUACCGGAUAAUAUUUUGAACCGCAUGGUUCAAUAGUGAAAGACGGUUUUGCUGUCACUUAUAGAUGGAUCCGCGCGGCAUUAGCUAGUUGGUAAGGUAACGGCUUACCAAGGCAACGAUGCGUAGCCGACCUGAGAGGGUGAUAGGCCACACUGGAACUGAGACACGGUCCAGACUCCUAAGGGAGGCAGCAGUAGGGAAUCUUCCGCAAUGGGCGAAAGCUUGACGGAGCAACGCCGCGUGAGUGAUGAAGGUCUUCGGAUCGUAAAACUCUGUUAUGAGGGAAGAACAAAUGUGUAAGUAACUGUGCACGUCUUGACGGUACCUAAUCAGAAAGCCACGGCUAACUACGUG
rnacentral:rRNA from 1 species